GCGGGAGCGCGAAUUUUGGGCUGUGUCCUGGAGCCCUGUGCUCCCGGGUCUGCGCUGUUGGAUUCGGGCUCCCGCCCGGGCAGUCCCCU
rnacentral:pre_miRNA from 1 species